GAUUAUAUAGAUGUAUCUGUAAUAGUUGCAAUAACGACUGGGUGCCCCUGAUGUAUUGUAUUUUCAGCUAUACCUUUCUUUCAUAUAUUUCUAACUAUUGAUUAAAACUUUCAUAUAUUGAUAUAAAAUUAUAAAAAAAUUAUUUAAAAAUAGAUAAAAAUUAUUUCUUUCUAUUUUUAGAUAAAGAUCAAGUAUUCACAAAAGUCUUUAUGGAGAUGAAGACUGGACUACUGGG
rnacentral:lncRNA from 1 species